AGUUUUUUUUAAAGGAAACAAUUGAAGGGUAAAAGUUAAGAUUCACUUAGAGUUGUAGCUGGCUGGCAUUUGUGGUGUAUUGCGUCUUGACGAGUGAUGGGAAAAGGCUUUCAAGCAUUCUAUUUCUCUGCUCAUGGAUCCAAGUCGUGUUGGGUCCCUCCUAUAGGUCUCUCUACUUCUGCAUCCACUCAUCUCGCCUCUCUCUCACACUAGCCUACCCAUCUAUCUCUGUCUCUUGUCUAGCGAAUGAUUCAGAAAAAGAUCAUGGGCGUAACUAAAAGGGGAAAAGGAGCAUUCACACAGAUUUGGAACUAUGGACAAUGAAUAGAGGAGCAGAACUGUUUGGGUUUCUGGACACGUCCACGCCAGGCAGGCCCGUGAGGGGGACCAACGACAUGUGGUGCGCGACUGACUGGCAGUCUGGACACUUAAACAAAUCAGAGAGUCGUUUGGCUAGUUUGCUUGUCUCAGGCCACUCAAGCAAAAGUAGGCUAAUGCCAGUGUUUGUAGUAAACUGCUCCGGAUUGUAUUGACUCAUUGCAUACCUUUGCUCUAUUUCAAAGUGCAUCUAUGCAAGAUAGCUCCGGGGUUGUUUCUCGCUGGACAAAAUCGUAUAGCUGUAGCAAACUCUACACUGCUGCUGCAGAGCUCGAGCUUUUCUAUCGUCAAAAAUUCUAUAGCCUAACUGAAAUUCAAUGUGGACAUCAGUAACGCCUAUUUUAUUGGAGUCACGGUAUCAGGUGCUGAAAUCUGAGGAAGACUUUCAUACAAGCAAGGAUGCAGGACCUCGGGCAGAAACACCGUUUUCUCAAGCCAGAAAAACAAAAAAACACAGAGAAAGAGUUUGAGCGAGAGAGAUCAGUAGCUGUGUGGGCCUGGACAAGGAGAACAGGAGGAGGAGAAACAGAGAGAAAGAAGAGGAAGAGAAGAAGAGUGGGAGUAGGUGGAAAAAGAGGAUAGGAAUGGUGCCUGUUUGGAAGCAGUGAGUGAUGAACCAGGGAGCAGGUGAACCCAGAUGUGGAUGGCCAAGGGCUCUCUGGCUCCUCUCCUUCCGUGGCCCUCUGCUCCGUGCCAGGGUCUCAGGGCCAGCCAGGCAGCGGCGGAGUGGGCAGGCGAGCCGAGGCAAGGGGAGGCGAGACGGGCUCUCAUCCCCGCUGGCAAGCUGCUCCUCAGCAGCGCGGAGCAGCAAAUCAAUAUGGAGGAGAGAGGCUAGCAGGGGUCGCCCAGCACUGCCCCGGGCCCCAGAGCCCAGGGACCCAGCGCUGCCAGCUCUCUCUCCUCCUCCUCCUCCUCUAUUACCAGGACCAGAACCAGCCACUGUAUGGAGCACAUCAGUCAGACCCUAACCCUCAACCACCCGCUCUCUCUCUCUGUGUGUAAGCAUGUCUGUAUGUGUGGUUCCGCCGUAGGGGCUUUCCUGGUCCAAGACCACUUGAUAAAACUUUGCUAGCGAGAAAGAGAGAGAAUAAAAAACGGACAUCAAAGAUAUUUUUCUUCUAUUUUCUUUCUCUGAUUAGUCAUUCUUACUCAUUCCACCUGACUGUUUGAAAGAGAGUUCAGUGAAGAGGCCUCUUAUAUUGAAUUGAACAGGGCUCUCUUGUCAGUCCCCCUCCUAGCAUGUACUGUACAGUCACCAUGCUCUCUACAUCUGAUGAACCAGGAUAAAAUAACAAUUAGAUUUUUUUUUCUCUCUUCAGCAGAUUCAAAGAAAAUCUUUUUCGCCUCCGGUUUUCUUACUCACGACUCGGGUUACUAUCAGAGGAGGUGGCAGAGGUUAUUGAUCUAUAUGGAGAAGGAAGAGGUGCUGGUUUUAAUACAGUACCUUUCACUGUCUGGUGGUUAUAUAGUAGUACCUGAUAACCCAUUCACUGUACAGCUGAACUAUAUUCAGGAGUGAAUGAGUCCUGAGUGAGAGAUGAAAAGGACGAUGGACAUAUAGCGCCUGGACAGUGGCCGUAUCCACCAGUUCUAUUUGAUGUGACUUUUCUCCUCCAUAUUUGAAGAAUUCUCUCCACACAAGCUGUGAAAAGACACUCUACACAAGACGCCCUAUCUUUAGAUACUCAAAAAAAGGAUGAAAAAAUUGAAAACAUUUCUUAAUUAAGAAUGACUGUAAGUGCUGAAUGGAAAGCCCGACACACAAAAAGCUUAAUUAAAUGUUUUCAUUGGGAAAACCGCUGGGCUGGAGAGGACAAAAGGACAGAGCUAAUUUGGGCCUUAAGCAGGAACACCUUCACAGAGUGAGAUCUACAAACAACACAAUAUUGCAGACUUCACUUGAUGCUGAGGUUACUAUGGAGAUACAGUGGAAGGAUCACGCAUCAAGCAUAAUGUCCCGUGCAGACCAAACCAGACACACAGAGAAGAUGUAAAGCCAUCCACUGUUCUUGUAAUAAAGGUAAAUAAAAAGACCCCACCACAGUCAAGAGGAUUCAGUUCUCCAGUCUACUGAUUAUCACCAAGUGUCUGUGUGGUCAGGUAAGUAGGAGUCUUAACAAGGGAAAGGUACGUUUAUAAGCGGUGGUUGAAAAGUAAUAUUUUUUUGGAAUAGUUUCAUUAAAUCUUAAUGAAAUAUUUUGAAACCAAUUUUGGGGGGAUAUUGGUUGAGACCCCAAGGGAUCCUUUGCCCGUUUCUAAUUUAGAGUAAAGCUUUUAAAUGUAAAAUCCUUGAUUUGCUCUAGUUUUUGUAUGCUUUUGCACUGCAGCUUCAUUCUUUUACCUAUCAUUUUCAUAUCAUUGAUUGUAAUAACUAUUUUAAUGUAAAAAUUAUGGAAUGCUGCAUGUUUCAAUGUUUUGUGGAAAAAAAUGAAAAUAAAGUGAACGUAAUUGGAAAAAGAAAAGCUGUUUUUGCAUUUGAAUGAAUCAAGUGACAAUAUAAAAGUUUAUCAAUGACCAUAAUAUACUGCAUAUUGUAGGUACAGAUGUAGGAUUCUCAUUUGAGCCAGUAUACUACAGCAAGAAAAUAAUGCUGCAGGAACAGGAAAUGUGAAUUAUUAUGUGGAUUAUAAUUAAUCAAAUAAAAAAAUGUAGGGUUUGAUACAUUUUAUGUUAGGGCAGACCAAGUCUAACAUUUUAAAGUGGAAAUUACAAACUUUAGAACCCUUUUUAAACCUUGAAAAGUUUGCAUUUCUUGCCGUGCAGGAAAAUUAUCAUCAACAAAAGAGUGAUCAAAUUAAGAUCCUACAUCUGUAUACAAUAUGAAUGUGGGUAAUGUCACACAGGAGGUCCAACAUUUGCAACAGCUAUUUAGAUCCUCUCAGAGUUAUCCUGAAGGACCAGAAAGGAGACAGUUAAACCAAGUGGCCUACGUCUUUGGUGCCAAUUAGGUCCCUGUGUGUGAGAGCAUAGGGGGUGUUGAAGGAAGCUGCUGGAGCUGAAGAAGGAGCUACACACACACAGGCCUUGUUUUUUGGUGAUCACUCCUCCUAUUGUUUUCCCACAACAGCCGGUUCAUGCGAUGCCCCAAAGCCCCCAGUGCGCUCCAGUGCUCUGGCUGAAAUGGGCUCUCUGUCCCCUGCACUGGGCUUCCCGCCCGGCCCCUGCCUCCCCCUGACUGGUAAUGACCUGAAAUUAGGGCCAAGCCAGGAGGGGAGGCCCUGGGCCCUGGGCCCUGGCCUGAAAGAAAAGAGAAGAUUAGCCCAUUCUGCCUGGCCAGUCAGCAGUGGUGGUAUUGACCAGGGCCCACCCAGGGAGAGUCCAGUGAGCCGUGAGAUGGCCUGAUAUACAUGCUUACUGAGCUGGACAGAUUCCCUCACUCUCACCAGGGAUAAACCCAACCAUACAAGACACUUUCUUAAACACUGCUCUGGAGAUUAUAGAAGUGACCCCCCCUCCCUGGGUGGAAACACACACAAACUGGUCAGACCUCACCGUAUCCUCUGUCCAGACUGCCAUUAGGAGUUUGGCCAGGCUUCUCAAUAUCGCUGUCCUGCGAGGCGAAAAGGGGUAAUCAGAACAGAACAGACCAAGCAUCCUACAGUGGCCUGAAAUGGUAGUAAAUAACAGCAACAUUAUAUUGACAUUUACUGUAUCACGUCACUUCAGUUCUGAUGACUAUUGUGAAGAAUAUGGUGAGGGAAUUAAAACUCAACACUAUCCUCUACAGUUCUGAGGUCUCUUGGCAACAGGUUUUAUGCCCCAUCUAGUGAUAAAGUCGAUGUCAGCAAACUUGUCACGCCCUGGCUCUGGGGACUCUUGUAUGUUGAGCCAGGGUGUUAGUUUCUUUGUGUAGUGUCUAUGUU